GACGAACGCUGGCGGCGUGCCUAAUACAUGCAAGUCGAGCGGGCCUCCGGAGGUGCUUGCACCUCCGGAAGGCCAGCGGCGGACGGGUGAGUAACACGUGGGCAACCUGCCUUUGAGGCCGGGAUAACACCGGGAAACCGGUGCUAAUACCGGAUACGUCCUCUUUCGCGCCUGCGAGAGGGGAGAAAGACGGUCUUUAAGGCCGUCGCCCAAAGAGGGGCCCGCGGCGCAUUAGCUGGUUGGUGGGGUAAGGGCCUACCAAGGCGACGAUGCGUUGCCGACCUGAGAGGGUGAUCGGCCAUACUGGGACUGAGACACGGCCCAGACUCCUGCGGGAGGCAGCAGUAGGGAAUCAUCCGCAAUGGGCGAAAGCCUGACGGUGCAACGCCGCGUGAGUGAGGAAGGUUUUCGGAUCGUAAAGCUCUGUUGUGAGGGAAGAACAGCUUCCGGAGGAAAUGCCGGAGGUUUGCCGGUACCUCACCAGAAAGCCCCGGCUAACUACGUGCCAGCAGCCGCGGUAAAAC
rnacentral:rRNA from 1 species